GUCACUCUGACCGUGUUUACAGCAGCCUAACUGAAGGGCCAUUUGCGGUGACUCCAUCUCUGUGAAGAGCACACCUCAGCUUCAACCUGCUGCCCUGUGGUGGUUCACCUCACCCAUACGCAUGAUGAGGAAACAACUUGUUGAUGCCAAAAGAGGACCAUUAUGCCUUAUCAUCAUCAGCUUGGCCCUCGCUGGGCUUGGAACCGUAUGUGUGCUGGUCACCAUGUUUGCACCAUGGAGAACAAAGUCGGUCCGAAGUUGUCAAAUCCCUUAUGUGACCUAUGACGGCCUAUGGUUUGCCUGUUUGCGGCACUACCACAAGGCUCUGCACGAGGCCAGGUGUCACAUGCUGGAAACAGUUUGGUUUAAGCCAGAAUUUCUUCAGGCUUGGCGUGUCCUGGUGUGUGUCUCGCUGGCGUGUGUGCUCUGUGCGUGGCCGGUUCUCAUUGUGGGGCUGAAACGCUUCUUUCAUCAGCGCAGAGAGAGGCAUGUCGCUCUGCUCACUGCCUCGGCCUCCAUGAUGCUCUCAGCGGCGUUUGCCACUCUCAUCCCUGCCACCGUCACUUCUAUCGGCUCAAAUCAAGUG